rnacentral:rRNA from 1 species
AGCGAACGCUAGCGGCGGGCUUAACACAUGCAAGUCGAGCGCUUCACUUCGGUGAAGAGCGGCGGACGGGUGAGUAACACGUAGGUUACCUGCCCCUGGGUGAGGGACAACCGAGGGAAACCUCGGCUAAUACCACAUAUGGUCUACGGAUCAAAGGCUUCGGCCGCCCGGGGAUGGGCCUGCGUCCCAUUAUUUAAUCCUAGUUGGCGGGGUAACGGCCCACCAAGGGUACGAUGGGUAGCUGGUCUGAGAGGAUGAUCAGCCACACUGGAACUGAGACACGGUCCAGACUCCUACGGGAGGCAGCAGUGGGGAAUAUUGCGCAAUGGGCGAAAGCCUGACGCAGCCACGCCGCGUGAGUGAUGAAGGCCCCCAGGGGUCGUAAAGCUCUGUCGGGGGGGGAAGAGGUUCUGACGGUACCCCCCAACGAAAGACACCGGCGUAACUACCGCGCCAGCAGCCGCGGUAAU